CGUAGGGUCCGAGCGUUGUCCGGAAUUAUUGGGGCGUAAAAGGGCUCGUAGGCGGUUUGUCGCGUCGGGAGUGAAAACUCAGGGCUCAACCCUGAGCGUGCUUCCGAUACGGGCAGACUAGAGGUAUUCAGGGGAGAACGGAAUUCCUGGUGUAGCGGUGGAAUGCGCAGAUAUCAGGAGGAACACCGGUGGCGAAGGCGGUUCUCUGGGAAUUACCUGACGCUGAGGAGCGAAAGCAUGGGGAGCGAACAGGAUU
rnacentral:rRNA from 1 species